rnacentral:rRNA from 1 species
UACGGAGGGAGCUAGCGUUGUUCGGAAUUACUGGGCGUAAAGCGCGCGUAGGCGGCUUUGUAAGUUAGAGGUGAAAGCCCGGGGCUCAACUCCGGAACUGCCUUUAAGACUGCAUCGCUUGAAUCCGGGAGAGGUGAGUGGAAUUCCGAGUGUAGAGGUGAAAUUCGUAGAUAUUCGGAAGAACACCAGUGGCGAAGGCGGCUCACUGGACCGGUAUUGACGCUGAGGUGCGAAAGCGUGGGGGAUCAAACAGG